GGCGGACGGGUGAGUAACACGUGGAUAACCUACCUAUAAGACUGGGAUAACUUCGGGAAACCGGAGCUAAUACCGGAUAACAUAUUGAACCGCAUGGUUCAAUAGUGAAAGGCGGCUUUGCUGUCACUUAUAGAUGGAUCCGCGCCGUAUUAGCUAGUUGGUAAGGUAACGGCUUACCAAGGCAACGAUACGUAGCCGACCUGAGAGGGUGAUCGGCCACACUGGAACUGAGACACGGUCCAGACUCCUACGGGAGGCAGCAGUAGGGAAUCUUCCGCAAUGGGCGAAAGCCUGACGGAGCAACGCCGCGUGAGUGAUGAAGGUCUUCGGAUCGUAAAACUCUGUUAUCAGGGAAGAACAAAUGUGUAAGUAACUGUGCACAUCUUGACGGUACCUGAUCAGAAAGCCACGGCUAACUACGUGCCAGCAGCCGCGGUAAUACGUAGGUGGCAAGCGUUAUCCGGAAUUAUUGGGCGUAAAGCGCGCGUAGGCGGUUUUUUAAGUCUGAUGUGAAAGCCCACGGCUCAACCGUGGAGGGUCAUUGGAAACUGGAAAACUUGAGUGCAGAAGAGGAAAGUGGAAUUCCAUGUGUAGCGGUGAAAUGCGCAGAGAUAUGGAGGAACACCAGUGGCGAAGGCGACUUUCUGGUCUGUAACUGACGCUGAUGUGCGAAAGCGUGGGGAUCAAACAGGAUUAGAUACCCUGGUAGUCCACGCCGUAAACGAUGAGUGCUAAGUGUUAGGGGGUUU
rnacentral:rRNA from 1 species